UACAGAGGUCUCAAGCGUUGUUCGGAUUCAUUGGGCGUAAAGGGUGCGUAGGUGGCGCUGUAAGUCGGGUGUGAAAUUUCGGAGCUUAACUCCGAAACUGCAUUCGAUACUGCGGUGCUUGAGGACUGGAGAGGAGACUGGAAUUCAUGGUGUAGCAGUGAAAUGCGUAGAGAUCAUGAGGAAGACCAGUGGCGAAGGCGGCUUGCCAGAACGCGCUCGACGGUGAGGGAUGAAAGCUGGGGGAGCAAACCGG
rnacentral:rRNA from 1 species